CCCCCACCCUCGUUUUUCUCAUGAUGUCUGCAUCACUGCCCACACCAAUCUAUCUCUUCCUGCUGAAUGUUUUUAAAGCCAAAUUGGAAAAAAAAAAAUUGGAAGUGGCCUGCAUGCUGUUCUUUCUGGGUUUCAAAGAGCCCUCCCGUGUUAUGGGAACAAAAUACAGUGUUUUAAUUUUCAAUAAUAAUAAUUAUUAUUAUCAUUACCCACAACGAUGCCAACACCAAGAGCCCCACUCGCGGGUAGGCUGAUCUAGGGGUGUAAGUGCUUCUCCGGCUGGGACUGCAUUUGGGCUGCACCGGCCCUGUGAACCCGCCCCCCUCCCCUUGUCUGUAACCUAAGGAGGCCGGUUGCCUGGCGACUCCCAGCUGGGUUGGGGGAGGCCACCUCCACCAGGGCUCCAGGUCCUGCUUUUCCCAUGUCCUGGGCCACAGAUCACAUUAGCAACACAUUUUUCUGCAGUGCUGGCAGAGCACCUGUUUGGGGACAGGCUCCAGGCAUGUCAGAUGGUGACAACAGAUCUGUGCGUCCACUCAGCCCCCAUCAGACAGGUCCCUCCACCCCACACCAUAGGGCUGUGCGUGGCUCUCUGCCAGCCAGGGGUGGCGGGCCGAGCAGGGAGCCGCUCUUCAAUUCCUUUCCCAGUGUGGGUGGGGAGCUGAGCGGGAUGAGGUGGCCGACACCCUGCUCCCUCCUGCCCUGCCCUCCGUGGAGCCCAGGGGAGCUGAGCGUCCCACUGCACUCAGCAUCAGCAGGGGGAGGGGCCCGUGGGAGGCAGGGCUUGGCGCUUCAGUUCUCUGCUUUCCCUCUGCCGGUGCCUGGAGUCCGCAGGGCAGGGCCCGCUGGGUAGCAUCCCUCACUGCCUCCCCCGCCGGCAACAACAAAGCCCUGUGAGUCAGCCCUGCUCUCCUCCUCUUCCUCCUCCUCCUCCUCCCUGGGGAUGAAGGCCAGCAGGAAGCUGAGUAUGCUCACCCACCCAGCACCCUGUUCCAACUCAACAGGGGUCGGUCUGGCUUCUGUUGUUUAAGAUGACAUAGGACGAAGAAGCGUCUAGUAACAUAACAUCCAAGAUGUCCAGGAUACGAUUUAAAGAGUCAGCCAUACACCGGGAACCAAGAGAACCGCACCAUAAAUAGGCAUACAUGCUCAGCACUGAGAUGAGUAAGAUGGGAUCAGCUGCCUGGCAUUUCUGAAGCAGCCAUCAUAAAAACACUUUUUAUGAAUUCUCUUAAUGUGAAUAAAAAACAGAAAGUCUCAGCA
rnacentral:lncRNA from 1 species